rnacentral:misc_RNA from 1 species
UAUGUUUACAGAGGAAAAACAAUCCUUCCCGAAGAUGUAGAACAUUGAUCAAAAUGGCAUCAACAAUCUGUAUCCUCGCAGGGGAAACAUCAUGAUUCAGAUAUACAGAAAUAAGGCUCCUGGAGUGGCGAGGUUUAAGAACAACGUUAAAUAUUGCUGGUUAAUUUAUGCUUCGGUGGAAGCAUAUGUUAUCAUGGUGCAAAUUUAGUGCCUUCAUUUCUAGUUGUACUAAAUCUUCACUUGGUGGAGGUUUAGGCAAAAUCAUAAGAAUGUAACUGGCUCAUUGCUGCAAUAUUCUUGUAGUAACACCAGG